UUUUCCCGCUUUCUAAAGCUCUCACACCCACUCCCUGUCUCCAACGGAGUCCAAAUUCGCGGGCUGCGGACCCUCGCGACGAAACUCGCCAACACCUCCUCCAACCCCAACUCGGUCCUGUCCCCCUCGGAGCACCGGCCACGCCAUCGCCGCAGCCUCUGAGACCCGCAGACCUCGAUUUCCCAAAUUUUCGAAACUGUGAGCUCUGUUUACCAAUUUGUCCGAUGUGCUCUCUGUUUUCGCGAAAUAACUACUAACGGGGUAUAGACACACCCACAUUUCAAACCAAGCACUCGUCACCGACUUAUUCAUUUCCUUUAUAUUGUUCUUCAUGUCAAUUUCAACGAAUUUACGUCUCUUCUUGCUGCUGUCAGUUUUCGCAGCGACGCUGUGCAUAGCAGAGGAGGAGACUACUGUUCAGGCAUCAUUCAUCAAUGAUAUGAUCGAUGCCUUCGGCCAACCCUUGCUAGACCUGGGCUGGGAGAAGGACAAUGACCAGUACUGCAAAUUCGAGGGAGUCGCAUGCGACGAUGGCUCCAUCUUCGAGCUGAAACUCCCGAACCGGUCGCUGAACGGAACCCUUCCAGACUCCAUCGCCAAGCUGAGCAGAUUGGAAGCUUUGGAGCUGCCUCACAACAACAUAUCUUCCAUCCCGCAGGUCGGCUCGAAUCACUUUUACUACCUAGAUAUGAGCAACUGUAAUAUUUCUGGAACAUUCCCAGAGUCUAUAAACGUCCCCUACCUUAAAACCAUCAACCUGUCCUCCAACAACCUAGAAGGAAACCUAGGUGAACAGACUCUGAACUACAAAGCUAUCACCAAUUUGGUCUUGAACAACAACUCCCUAAGUGGGUCCUUACCCAACAGUCUGACCGACGCGUCUCAUCUUUACAGAUUAGACUUGUCGUACAACAAAUUCACAGGUGGCGUGCCCUCUGGCAUUGCUAAAUUACCGUAUCUAGAAAUUCUACAAUUGCACCACAACAACCUCGAUUCACUUUCAUCUGAUUUUGACUCGAGCCAAAUUAAAGACUUCAAAUUCGAUCCCCAAUCAGUACAGUCCAACUCGAGGCGCUCAAGAAGGGGGCGUGUGUGACGGCAGCUCCCUGGAGCAGAAGGUCCAUAUAAUAGGUCAUUAUGUACCAGACCCUGCUUAAUAAAAGCAAUUUGUCUUUUUUCAGAGCCUGGAGGAGGAAGAGGCUCUGAGAGACCAUGCACCCCUUUUUGUCAAAGGCUUGCACACACCUCGUUUUCUCCAGGCGACAUCGUGUACAACUCUCACGGAGAAUGAUCAUACACGAGUAUGGUUCUGCCGACAAUUGUCAGAGUCGUUGACAAUGCCACGUUGGCGGCGGUAGCGCCAAACCGUCAGGCUAGAAGAAAACCCCAAUUCGACGGAUUUUCGUGCCUGUCUCGCACUUCUUCGGCGCCAGACACUCUUGACCUAUGUCGCGUUUCUCGACUUUGUCAUUUGCCAGGCGCUCUGUGCACCAGCCACAAGAAUUGCUGGUGUCAAGGUGUAUCUGAAACUCCUUGUCAACACGAACAAUAAGCCUGUUCCAGUUCCUGUAGUUAGCGCCAGCUGUGCGUAAUAUUUUCUGUACGUGUCGCGUUCGUGACACAGAAUUUUUUCAUCGACCAAUUUAAAUGCGUGGUACAUCAUCAAUAUUAACACUGUGCCGGUCGCAGUAUUCAAUCCUCUGGCUAUCACAUGCUUUGUCGAGCUCCGCAUAACUCUCAGUGACCCCGGUUCUACCGAGGGUGUCAAUCUGAAGGCAGACCUAAGUGCUCCCCAGGCAAAACCAGUCCCGUAUCCCGACAUCAAAACUCUUCCAACUUCCUUAGCGUAAUCCACGUACUCUUGUUCUUUUAUGUCGAAUUCCACGAGGAGUUCCUUUUUCGCGUACAUUGGCAACUGGUUGAGUAAGAACGUCUCGUACUUGGCCCGCAAAAAACGCAUAGCAGACUCCGACAAGAGCAAUUGCUGUAGUGCGAAUUUACCCUGUCUUAUGAUACGUGAAUCACCACUAUACAUGUGGGAUCUAGAUCCAAAGGUAAGAUCGCAAAGGUGUGGAAACACAUCUGUUUUUUCCGCCAGCCACUUUCUGCCCUCUACGGAUUUUGUCAGUCCGGAUACGAAACUGAUGCCAGUGCGACAUACUCCGGGGUCAGGGCUGUUUAUCAGUUGAACGUAGUGUGUCAAAUUGGGUGAUUGAAGCAGUUGAGAAUGUGUGUUUUCGUUUUGUGCCAAAACGGACACAAAACGGUCAAAUGCCAAAACAAGCAGCUCGUCAAGGUAGGGCACAGCCAGUGCAUGUAAAUCUUUAUCUACCGAACGUUCGUAGAUUGUCCGAACAUGCAAGUCAUUCGUUCGAGAGGUUUCGAUCAUUCUUUGUAUAUGGGUCGUUGUUUCAGGAAGAAACAGUUGGUCGAGCUUGUCAAAGUUUUGUGUUUGCGUGAAAUAUUUCAGAACAAAUGCAUUGUGUUCGGCUAGUCCAGUUAUGGCACGCAGACUGAGGAGUCGAACAAGGGGAUCUGAAUGAUAUAGUAGCUGACACAGUUUGAUGUAAAUAGGUGUCUGAAUCAUGUGCUUCUUCGUAAAGCGGUUUCUGACAGACACAUCUGCGAUGUGCAUUAGAGCGGUGUAAAUUUCUUCGGAAGGUACAAGAAGGUUGUGAGUGUCUCGAAAUGAAAGAAAACUCCGAUGCAGCAUUUGCUGCUAGGAGCGAAGCCGCCAACAGUCUGUUUGUGGUGGAUAGUUUUCUAGCUUUACAAUAGAGUGCGGUGAGUACUUUGUGAA